rnacentral:rRNA from 1 species
GACGAACGCUGGCGGCGUGCCUAAUACAUGCAAGUAGAACGCACAGUUUAUACCGUAGCUUGCUACACCAUAAACUGUGAGUUGCGAACGGGUGAGUAACGCGUAGGUAACCUGCCUGGUAGCGGGGGAUAACUAUUGGAAACGAUAGCUAAUACCGCAUAAUAUUGAUUAUUGCAUGAUAAUUGAUUGAAAGAUGCUAUUGCAUCACUACCAGAUGGACCUGCGUUGUAUUAGCUAGUAGGUGAGGUAACGGCUCACCUAGGCGACGAUACAUAGCCGACCUGAGAGGGUGAUCGGCCACACUGGGACUGGGACACGGCCCAGACUCCUACGGGAGGCAGCAGUAGGGAAUCUUCGGCAAUGGACGAAAGUCUGACCGAGCAACGCCGCGUGAGUGAAGAAGGGUUUCGGAUCGUAAAGCUCUGUUGUAAGAGAAGAACGGGUGUGAGAGUGGAAAGUUCACACUGUGACGGUAUCUUACCAGAAAGGGACGGCUAACUACGUG